rnacentral:rRNA from 1 species
AGUCGAGCGAAGUCUUCGGACUUAGCGGCGGACGGGUGAGUAACGCGUGGGAACAUACCCUUUGGUACGGAAUAGCCUCAGGAAACUGGGAGUAAUACCGUAUGUGCCCUUCGGGGGAAAGAUUUAUCGGAGAAGGAUUGGCCCGCGUUUGAUUAGAUAGUUGGUGGGGUAAUGGCCUACCAAGUCUACGAUCUAUAGCUGGUUUGAGAGGAUGAUCAGCCACACUGGGACUGAGACACGGCCCAGACUCC